UUUCUUCACCUAACUCGUGCUGCAGGGAUAUCGGGCGACCAGCCAGACCAGCAGACCUCUGCGGCAACUGCUGAUGCCUCAAUGGCUUUUUUUUUUCAUUUUUGUUUGCCUUAUUUCUCUCUCUUUCUCUCUCAGAAAAAAAAAAAAAAAAAAAAAUACAGCCCAGGCUAAGUGAUCAUGGUUAACAUGUGAGAUGGAACAAAGGAAGUCUGUGGCCUUCUUGCUGCAUUGGUUUUGCUUGCAUCUCUGUGUAAAGAAACUGCCUCGUAGCAGGUAUCUCAAGGGGGAAAAAAAACAGAGGUUUCAGUUCUGUAUGUCUCAGACUCCAGUCUCUAGAGUUCUUCUGUAGGCUGUAUGUUGUUAAUGCUAAUCGUGAUAGGGGUUUUUACCUCUGAAUGACUCCUACAUGUUAGCAUUAACACUGUACCAUGCCUCUCAUCAGAACUCACAAGGAACAAACUGCUGCUGUGGGAGGAGGACAGAAAUCAUGAAUCAGUCAAUGCCACGCUGAGAAGACCUCCAUGUGACAUGUAAAAAGAUGGCUUGUUCUGCAAACAGACGCACUUGGUAGAAUGUGGUCUAAGUUAAGGGCACUGGGAAAAAGCAGCUUCAUGUAUCAGUAAAUCCUUAGUAGGACAUAGAAUCUGUAAUAUUCUUAGCUCAGCAACUUGGUUGUCUUCUUUUUUUCUAACUGCUUUUCAGGUCUUCUGGCUUUACUUCUUGCGUAAAUGUUUCAUUACAUUAUUUCAUUUAAGAAAGUGAUUAAUUAAAAUUUUGGCAUGCAUAAGUGUGCAUUCUUUUCUAUAAUUUCAUUAUAUUUAAGACAAAAACUAACAAAAAAAUGCUUCUCUGAGAUUGUAACUUUAGUUAACACAUUUAUCGUUAAGAGAAAAUGAAAAUAUAUUAAUUUUACUCUGAAAUUAGAGUACUUUCCAAAAUUUUACAAAAAUCUCAGGAUAUUCCCAAGAGAUAGGUAAAUACUGUUAUAACUGUUUUGUGGAAGGUCAAAAUAGAUAGAUAGUAAAUACUCAUAAAAAUUGAGACAGCGAGGCUUUGAAAUAUUUGAUCUUACGCUCUAAUUAAAACUGCUUAAUGAGUAGUCAUGGGCGAACAUAAGGAGAAAAUAAAGACCCAAAGGAUAGAUUAUUAAGUAAGAAAAGAAACAAGGUCAACGUCUGUGCUCUUCCAAUAUGUAUAUCCUGUCUACAGUGUUUUGACUGUGAACCCCCAGAGCACCUUGGUUACAGAGCACCUUGAGACCACAAACACUUAUGAAUCAAUGGCCUCAUCUAUAAAACAGUCUCACAUAUCAACAGUCUCACUGAAUACCACUUUUCCACUCAGGUAGGACUGCUGCAGGGCAUGACUCUUCCAAAACAGGUUGUGAGAUCAGAAGCUCCACUGGGAACAUAAGCAAUAAGAGGUUGUGCCCACCUGAACACAAGAGCCAGCUCACUCCUUCCAAAGUCAGAGCCAAAAAAUAAAAAAAAACAUAUUUCUAUUAAUUUCACUGGAUAAUUAACUCUGAAAGUGGGAAGGAAAUUAUGGUGGGAGAGAAGAGUCAAUGGAAAUUCUCAUUUUUUUGAGCCUAGGGUGAAAUGGCACAGCACAGCCUGAUUCCACUGCCAACUUGAGGCAAAGUUUGGAGGUAUCAGUUCUCUUUGUGAAGUUGAGGUGGUCCUGAGACCCUAGAAGUGGGCAGCCAUUCCCAUGUUAGCAGCUCACUGCUGUUCUUCUUCUUGGCAGCACUGUUGCCAGAGGGCUGGCAGCAGGUCCCAAGCUGCCCUGGUACAGCUGCACUACAUGGUGGCAAAGAAGAGUCCUGGCUGAACCAUGGGCUUGGAAAGUCUCUUUUAACACAAAGACUUCUGUGAAAUGAAGAAAACUGAAGAUAUUAUUGAGUUUAUCUCUGUAAGCUAAAUUCUCACAUGGGUUGUACAGAUUAAAAAGGAGCAUUAAUUAAGUGAUGAUGUUUAUUAUAUACUCCCAAAAGGAAAAUAUUACUCGAUACACUCCUUGGAUCCUCACUCUAUUCAGUAAGUCUCAUUUACUGUGUGGCAUCAGUAAGGGAUUUUUGUCUCUUCUUCAGAGCCUUAAAGCAACAACGGAGCUCUGUACAUGGCAUACACUACUGACCUCAGUGAUCAUGAGUUGCAUGCUACUCAAAUAAUGACAUCCUCAUUUCACCCCAUCUAUUCACUCUCCAACCUGCAUUCCCCAUUUCUGUCCUAUAUACACUCAUGGCAAUAGAAGUUAUGCUUCCAAGGAAGAGAAUGGGUCUCGAUUCUCACUGUCAUGCUGUAAAAAUCAUAUGCAUGUUCUCAUACAUUUUCUCCCUUUAAAAUGUAAAUGAAAAGUGACUUGUGAACUUAAGAAAUAAAUAGCACAUAAAAAUA